rnacentral:rRNA from 1 species
AGCGAACGCUGGCGGCAGGCCUAACACAUGCAAGUCGAACGAACUCUUCGGAGUUAGUGGCGGACGGGUGAGUAACACGUGGGAACGUGCCUUUUGGUUCGGAAUAACUCAGGGAAACUUGUGCUAAUACCGAAUGUGCCCUUCGGGGGAAAGAUUUAUCGCCAUUAGAGCGGCCCGCGUCUGAUUAGCUAGUUGGUGAGGUAACGGCUCACCAAGGCGACGAUCAGUAGCUGGUCUGAGAGGAUGACCAGCCACACUGGGACUGAGACACGGCCCAGACUCCUGCGGGAGGCAGCAGUGGGGAAUCUUGCGCAAUGGGCGAAAGCCUGACGCAGCCAUGCCGCGUGAAUGAUGAAGGUCUUAGGAUUGUAAAAUUCUUUCACCGGGGACUAUAAUGACGGUACCCGGAGAAGAAGCCCCGGCUAACUUCGUG